GAAGCAAGCCAGACCGCCGCUGGGGCAAGCAUCGAAAGGUGGCCCUGGAGGAAGGUCCGGACUGCAUAGAGCGGCGUAGCAGUUAACGGCUGUCCACCGUGAGGUGCGGAUCAGAGCAACAGAGACGAGCCGAUUCAGUUCGGGUGAAACGGGCAAUCUCUACGCGCAGCAACACCGAAUAGGCACACGUUGAUCUGGCUCGGGGAGUGUGCGGGUAGGUGGCAUCGAGCCGGGUAGGCGACUCCCGGCCCAGAGGAAUGGCGGUCACGGCGCCGAGGCUUCGCAAGAGGCGCAGGCGCCGCACAGAAUCCGGCCUAUCGGCUCGCUUCACAC
rfam:Burkholderiales bacterium RIFCSPHIGHO2_12_FTLL_69_20 rifcsphigho2_12_scaffold_1793, whole genome shotgun sequence.